rnacentral:rRNA from 1 species
AUGACAUGCAUUUUGAAGACCAUGAGUUCGAGGUGGACGAGGAGGGUGAGGGCAUUGUCGACGCACCGAAAGGAAGAGCGGGCGAUUACACCAACACCGAUGACAUCUUACUAUGCAAUACUUGGUUGCAAGUGUCGAGGGAUCCAUCCGUUGGAGGCGAUCAAAGUAGAGAUGCUUAUUGGAACCAGAUGA